UACGUAGGGGCAAGCGUUGUCCGGAAUCACUGGGCGUAAAGGGUGCGUAGGCGGGUUUUUAAGUCAGGGGUGAAAUCCUGGAGCUCAACUCCAGAACUGCCUUUGAUACUGAAGAUCUUGAGUCCGGGAGAGGUGAGUGGAACUGCGAGUGUAGAGGUGAAAUUCGUAGAUAUUCGCAAGAACACCAGUGGCGAAGGCGGACUCACUGGCCCGGUACUAGACGCCUGAGGCACGGAAAGGCGCUGGGGAGCAAAC
rnacentral:rRNA from 1 species